rnacentral:rRNA from 1 species
UACGGAGGGUGCAAACGUUGCUCGGAAUCAUUGGGCGUAAAGCGCACGUAGGCGGACCGCUAAGUCGGAUGUGAAAGCCCUCGGCUUAACCGAGGAAGUGCAUUCGAAACUGACAGUCUUGAGUAUGGAAGAGGGUCGCGGAAUUCCCGGUGUAGAGGUGAAAUUCGUGAGAUAUCGGGAGGAACACCAGUGGCGAAGGCGGCGAC